GUCUCGCUAGAUCCACAGCACCUGAAGGAGCCAGUAUCUAUCUCCUCGAUGACCUGACUGCAGCUGCUGGGGCAGACAGCAUGCAUGGCCUGCUGUUCUCUGUCAAAGCCAUCAAUUAGUGACGCUGAACGAGCCCAGGUCCCUCAGCAUCCCUCAUAUGCUCACCGCCCUGGGACCAACAUGCUGGACCACUGUGCUGGGCCCCACAUCGCUCCCUGCCCACCCCAGCUGUGUGAAGAAAACCCAG